UACGGAGGGUGCGAGCGUUGUCCGGAAUCAUUGGGCGUAAAGGGCGCGUAGGUGGCCUGCUAAGCGUGCGGUGAAAGUCGGGGGCUCAACCCCCGAUCGGCCGUGCGAACUGGGAGGCUUGAGCACUGUAGAGGCAGGCGGAAUUCCGGGUGUAGCGGUGGAAUGCGUAGAGAUCCGGAAGAACACCGGUGGCGAAGGCGGCCUGCUGGGCAGUUUGCUGACACUGAGGCGCGACAGCGUGGGGAGCAACAGG
rnacentral:rRNA from 1 species